GAGAUGAAGGUUCACUACUUUAGAGUGAGAGUGGAAUUUGAUCCCUCAUUUUGGGUGGCUGAUCGGUGCAGGCAGAAAGAGAGAGAGCAUAAAAUGGCCAUCGUUGAGAGAGAGUGAUGAAUUGUUUAGCUCUUCUUGAUCAAAUUGUUAAGGCAUGGUACGUAGUUUUUGAUUCUUUGCUUGGUCUGUACAGAGAGCGAUAGAGAGAGGGGUUGUUUGGUUUUGGUUAUUUGCAGGACUUGCAGAGGGAGGGAGAGAGAGAGAGAGGUGGGUUGCUCUUUGCUUCGAUGCGCGCAUUUUGUAAUAAAUUUCCAAGUCCAUAAGGUAGUUUUGGGGCUGACUGUACCAGUUCUCCAUUUUACUGGUGCAUACUGUUCAGUGUUGUGUGGUUAUUUAAGUGAGUAAAUUGGUUGGUUUAUACCGGGUGGAAGAGCUGAAUGUAUCAAGGCCUGUGCUAUAUGGUUUCUAUAAUAUUCCACCACUCAAUACUGUGACGACUUGGUCAGAAACACACAAUGCCUCUGUACCAGCUGAUUCUCUUAAUGCAAGUUUUCUACCUGUGGAAUGGGCAUUUGAUGAUUGAAUGAAUCACCCGCGUCGUUAUUGCUGCAUAAUUUCACUGUCAGUUUGCUUCUCUAUAACUUCGAAGAUGAUGUUACACCGGCCCAGACAAAAAGUUUUACAUUUAACAUGGUGCAUAUUGUUAGUUUCAAUAGAAAUUGAAAUGUGUGUUCAAUUAUUCAUAUAGAGAUGCAUGAUUAAAAAGAUAGUUUCUUACUGGUAA